UACAGAGGUCCCAAGCGUUGUUCGGAUUCACUGGGCGUAAAGGGUGCGUAGGUGGCUUGGUAAGUUUGACGUGAAAUCUCCGGGCUUAACCCGGAAAAUGCGUUGAAUACUAUUUAAGCUGGAGGUUUGGAGGGGGGACUGGAAUUCUUGGUGUAGCAGUGAAAUGCGUAGAUAUCAAGAGGAACACCAGUGGCGAAGGCGAGUCCCUGGACAACACCUGACACUGAGGCACGAAAGCUAGGGGAGCAAACAGG
rnacentral:rRNA from 1 species